GUGAAAUAGUGGAAGAUAGCAUGGACAGUGAUGGAGCACUUGAUGACAGUAUACCUGUAAUUGGAAAUCAUCUUUUAGUUAACCAGAAAAACAAAGUUGAUGACAAGAAUGAUAAUGAAGGUGGUACUAUGGCAUGUGAAGACACUGAUGUUCUUCCAGAAAAAGCUAUGGUAGAAGAGGAAAUGCUAGAAAAAGACAGUACAAAUGAUGAACAAACUUCUUUUGAUGACAAGAAUGAUAAUGAAGGUGGUACUAUGGAAUGUGAAGACUCUGAUGUUCUUCCAGAAAAAGCUAUGGUAGAAGAGGAAAUGCUAGAAAAAGAC